GCUCCUGCUCUGGUUUGCACUUGCAGGGGGUGACAGCAUCCCUGUGCCUUCUGCCUGUCCUCAUAGCAACCAAGAUUCAGUUGGGGAAUACGUCU
ensembl:snoRNA Gm55776 predicted gene, 23663